GUAACAUAGCAAGACCCCAUCUCUACAAAAAGUUUAAAAAUUAGCUGGGCAUGGCUGUUGCCUAGCAAGUAAAUAAAUCCAGUGUUCUAUUUUUCCAUCACCGUGGCACUCAUUGCCUUUCCUUUAACAAUUCUGGAGAUUCCACUAAGAUGCCUUGUCGGUUCCCCUUGUCUGCAGCAGUGGACAGCUCAAUCUGAGGAGUGUGAGCCCUCAGCUCAAAGGGCUGAGCCCACGGUCAGGGGCUCUGCUGCUUUUCGUGGUUCUGAAAUGCUGCUGCACCAUCUCAACAAACAUCAAAUGAUCCUAAAUUGAAAGGAUUCUAAAGUGACUCUGAAAAAAAAAACAACUGAAAAAGCACCUUUGGUAGAGCGUGAUGAUGGCCUCGGUUCUUCAUCCCUCCAGCAGCCUCAGCUUUUUCCAUGUGCCCUUUCUCUUUGAGACACAGGACCACAGGACUACAGCUGAUAGUGUAACAGGGAAAACUCUCUGGCAGCACAACCCUCAUCAAUGCACAAGGUCAACCUUUCAUCUCUGAAUAAGGUAAGGCCAUUAUAAAGGACUAUAAAAAAACAACUUUAUAAUUAUAGAAAUACUUGCCUGGAGUUUAAUCAAACAUAAAUGUUAUUUUCACCAGCCAAAGCUGUUAAAUGACUAUAAACUUUGAGCAAUACACUAGCAAAGGUGAUUAACAACCAAGAGGUGAUCCUCACCCAACCUAACUGAAAAUUCUUUCCCAACUAAAGAGCAAUGAGACUCGCUUCACACAACCAUAUACAUACAGACGGAUGCAUUCUACCCAGUCCAGGCUGUGAGCUGCAAUUGUUAACUGGCAAAAUCACAAUGAACUUCUCCUUGCUAGCACAUAAAA